rnacentral:lncRNA from 1 species
CUACAGUGAGGGGCGUGCUCCUUCUCCUGCAGCACCUGCAUCUCUCCCCCGCCCCAGGACCAGGCUAGGAGGCAGCCACAAAGAGGGCACCAGAAGGGAGGGCUCGGCUCGGGGGCUGGCAGGUGGGUGAAUCCGGAAACCUAGGGUCUGCGGGCCAGGCCGUGGGACCUUGGCCAGGUCACUUCCCCUCUCUGGACCUGGUCUCUCACCCUGAAAUGAAGAGGCUGGCUGAGUGAAUCCAGAGGGAGAGUCCCUCUGAGGAUGGAGGGGAACACCCCAGGAGGCUGGGGUCUCUGAGUCAGUUCCUUUCUCUUGGCCAAGUUACUGAGGCUUGAUUUGUGCUCAGAGAUGCGGGGGCUCUGGGCCACACAGUGCUCGGCCUUGGCACAGUGCCUCCAGGACAGCCUCUGCUUCUUGGCCUCGCUUCUCUGUGGUCAGCUCAGAAUCCUCAGCCUUUUUCUGUGUUUGAGAGACCUGGGGACUGAAAUGAGAGAGCUCAGGCAGGCCACUUGGGGAGAGGAGGUUCAACAGAGUGACACUAGGAAGCCAGCCGCUCCUCGUGGGCUGAAAGGUAGAGCCCAGCAUCCCGCUGCAGGUCGGCUGCCUGAUCCAGGCCUUUGCCUCCCUCCUUCUGGGUCUGUGAAUGGUACCUGCUCUCCGUCUUCCCUCCUGCCUGUCAUUCAUCUUGUCUAGCUCCCCAUGCCUAUUUCUACUCUCACAUUUAAAUCUGCUUAGGAGUUCCCAUCGUGGCGCAGCAGAAACGAAUCUGACUAGGAACCAUGAGGUUGUGGGUUCGAUCCCUGGCCUCACACAGUGGGUUAAGGAUCUGGCCUUGCCGUGAGCUAUAGUGUAGGUUGCAGACGAGGCUCAGAUCCUGCGUUGUUGUGGCUGUGGCUGUGGUGUAGGCCAGCAGCUGUAGCUCUGAUUAGACCCCUCUCCUGGGAACCUCCAUAUGCCACGGGUACGGCCCUAAAAAAGACAAAAAAAAAAAAAAAAAAGAAGAAGAAGAAGAAGAGGGCGAGUUACUUAUAAUGUCUCCAAGCCCUUCAUUUCCCCCACCAACAUGGACUUGGUCCCUGCUGGGUACCAGGCAUCAUCCUAUCCAUUUUACCUAUAUAACUCAUUUAACCCUGCAAACGACCCUAUGAAAAAGAUAGCAUUAUUAUCCCAUUUUGCGGAUGAGACAUCGGAGGCACACAGGCACUCAGAAACUGGACCCAAGUUCAUACGAUUAGAAAGGGGCAGGGGUGGGAUUCAAACCUGUGUUCUUGCCACAUCAUGCUGGGUGUUGGGGGAGCCAACAAGCAAGCUUGGGAAAGUGCUGUCCUCACACCAGGGCUGCUUCUCACCCGGUGUCUAUUGGAUGUACGUCCACAAGGGGCCCCGUGGUCCAACUCUAAUCAUCCUUUGUCCGUCACAGGUUUUCCUUUUCCAGCAGGAGCAGAAGGGGGAAAAUCAACACAAUAGGAGGAGAAAAGAGAAAGCCUGAGCCAGCUGGGUUUUUGCUGGGGCUCAUCCAAGCCACUUCCCCUCUCGGCCCGGCUUAGAUGGUGCAAGAAUAGGGAUGCGAAUUUGCCAGGGUUUCCCGCUUUCCCUCUGGGUUCUGUUGCCCAGAGAUCAGAGGUGGCUAGCGCCUUCCCCCAACCUCCCUCCUUGUCCAGCUGCCUCCUGCUCAGAAUGAGCCUCUCUAGUCCCUAGGUCUGAGGCUCAUCCAGGCACCUGUCUUUCUUCCCGUAGCUCCCCCUCUCCUAACUGAAAAGUCAGGUUGAAGCGGAGCAUCCUUUUCUGCCUCCAGCCGAGUCCCUCCCAAGAAUCCUCUUACACCCUUUGCCAAGGAAAGCCCUGCCCCUGGGCUGGGCCUGGGAAGAAGGGGACCGAUGCCCUCUUCAGUGAUUAUUGUGCCUCUGUAUAAAGCUCCAGCAAGGCCAGGCUCUCGAUAGGGGUUGCUGGGUAAAUGUUUGUUGAAUAAAUGGUGAACUGGGAGAGCAGGGGGAUGGGGUGACAAAGCAGUCAGUUGCCGCAGGCAGGUGCCAAGAAGCCCACAACGCAGCAGCGACUCAUUGAAAUGGUCCCACCUUGCCUGGACCUGGGCCUGGGGUGCUUCAAGGGUUGCAAAGUUGCAGCUCCUUUUUCCUCUUUGUCUCUUGGCCGCUGCCAGCGGGGCAGGCCUGGAGGAGCUACGCAAUCAUAUAUUGCACACAAUUGUUGAACUGAAUUGAAUAGGCAAGCUGGCCUCAUGCCCUCUCCCCGAGGAUUUACAGAUCAGAGAGCCGUGUCUAUCCUGUCCCCUGCCUGCAGACAGCUGAAACCUAAAAUAUUCUGAGCAAUCGAAGUCUUUUUCACAGUCUUCAGAGAUACCCAGCAUCAGGCCUCCCUUGGGAGAGUGGCCCGUGUUUAACAACGCUGAGAUCCAAGUGAGUCUCUCUGGCUCUGUUUGUCCCAUUUUUAGUGGAAAUGGAGUUGGGCUGCUAAAAUGCUGCUUUUUUAAAAAAAAUUUUUAAAGGAUUUUUAAUUUUUCCAUCACAGCCGGUUUACAGUGUUCUGUCAGUUUUCUACGGUACAGCAAGGUGACCCAGUCGCACAUACAUACAUACAGUCUUUUUUCUCACAUUAUCAUGCUCCAUCACAAGUGACUAGAUAGAGUCCCAGUGCUCUACAGCAGGAUGUCAUUGCUUAUCCAUUCCAAAGGCAAUAGUUUGCAUCUAUUAACCCCGAAUUCCCAGUCCAUCCCACUGCCUCCCCCACCCCCUUGGCAACCACAAGUCGGUAAAAUCUGCUUUUUAAAUGCAAAGACGAUCAGAAAAAGAAAAAAAAAAAUCUCUGUCCCAUCUUUAGAAGGGGAUGGUGCUAAAGUCUGACUUUGGGGGGCCCUUCUGACACUGACAGUUGGGACCAUCACAUCACCAUGUCAAGCUGAUGACCCUUGGGGUGGGCCAGCCUCAGCCAAACAGUCCUGGAAGACACUGGAAGGCAGGGCAUAAAGACAUUUCAAGACUAUUAGUGCUUUGGAGUUCCCGUUGUGGCACGGCGGAAACAAAUCCGACUAGGAACCAUGAGGUUGUGGGUUCGAUCCCUGGCCUCAUUCAGUGGGUUAACGAUCCAUGUUGCCAUGAGCUGUGGUGUAGGUCGCAGACGCGGCUCGGAUCUAGCAUGGCUGUGGCUGUAGCUCCGAUGAGACUCCUAGCCUGGGAAC